AAGCUCUCCACAUACCUAUCAUAAAUUACGCUGCUAUGAACAUAGUAGAGCAUGUGUCCUUGUUAUAUGUUGGAGUAUCAUUUGGGUAUAUGCCCAAGAGUGGUAUAGCUGGGUCCUCAGGUAGUCCAAUGUCCAAUUUUCUGAGGAACCUCCAGACUGAUAUCCAGAGUAGUUGUACCAGUUUGCAAUCUCACUAGAAAGGUUUACCUCUUUCUUCACAUCCUUGCCAGCAUCUGUUGUCCCCUGAGUUUUUUGUCUUAGCCAUUCUGACUGGUGUGUGGUGGAAUCCCAGGGUUGUUUUGAAAAGUUACUGUUUU
rnacentral:lncRNA from 1 species